AUUCCUUAUUUAGUGAACUAAUGUAUAGGGAAGUGCACUCCUUUUGCAGAGAAAAAUACCCCCAUAGGGCCCUGGUCAAAAGUAGUGCACUAUAUAGGGAAAUUGGUGUUAUGUUCUGGUACCAAGAAGUGGUGCAUCGUCAGACACUAGUUAUUAGCUAGUUACCUAACUAUUUAGCUACCUACCUAUUUAGCUACCUAACUAUUAGUGAAAACUAAUAAUACUGUAAAUUAACAAUACUGAUAAUUUAAAAUACUGUAGCUCAGAGAAGGAACUAAGAGAAAACUAAAAAGCAAUGACAGCAUUUUAGUUAGUGCUCUGGUCUCAGUCCUGCAUGUGAUUUGAAAAGCAGUAUUUCAGAGAUUAAUCUGGCUAUGUGCAACACAAUGUCCCCUGCAAAGAAAUUAUGAAAAUAUCUGUUGCAACGAGCUCCUCCUGGUUCAGAAUGCUGGAGAGAAUCCCAUCGAUACUAAGAUGAACUUAGUGAGCUACAGUCUGUCAGACGGACACACACAACCCCUACUCAAACCUCAAGAGGUACAACACACAACCCCUACUCAAACCUCAAGAGGUACACACACAACCCCUACUCAAACCUCAAGAGGUACACACACAACCCCUACUCAAACCUCAAGAGGUACACACACAACCCCUACUCAAACCUCAAGAGGUACACACACAACCCCUACUCAAACCUCAAGAGGUACACACACAACCCCUACUCAAACCUCAAGAGGUACACACACAACCCCUACUCAAACCUCAAGAGGUACACACACAACCCCUACUCAAACCUCAAGAGGUACACACACAACCCCUACUCAAACCUCAAGAGGUACACACACAACCCCUACUCAAACCUCAAGAGGUACACACACAACCCCUACUCAAACCUCAAGAGGAUAUAUAUAUACAGUGCCUUGCAAAAGUAUUCGGCCCCUUUGAACUUUGCAACCUUUUGCCACAUUUCCGGCUUCAAACAUAAAGA